rnacentral:rRNA from 1 species
AAAACAUCUUUUCUUGAUUUAAUUUGAGAUUUGACCUGCCCAAUGAAUUAUUUAAUGGCCGCGGUAUUCUGACCGUGCAAAGGUAGCAUAAUCAUUAGUCUAUUAAUUGUAGGCUUGUAUGAAUGGUUGGACGAAAUAUUGACUGUCUCAUAUUAAUUUUUAUAAUUUAAAUUUUGAGUUAAAAUGCUUAGAUUUAUUUAUUGGACGAGAAGACCCUAUAGAUCUUUAUUUAUUAUUUAUUUAAUAGAUUUAGUUUAUUUUUUAUUAAUUAGUUGAUUUAUUUUGUUGGGGUGACAUGGGGAUAUAUUUAACUCUUUAUUUUUUUUUACAUUUAUUUUUGUAUAAUUGACCUUUUAUUAUUGUUAUAAGAUAUAGAUACCUUAGGGAUAACAGCGUAAUUCUUUUUGAGAGUUCAUAUUGACAAAGGAGAUUGCGACCUCGAUGUUGGAUUAAGAUUAUAAUCGGGUGUAGAUGUUCGGUUGUUAGGUCUGUUCGACCUU